rnacentral:lncRNA from 1 species
UUUGUAAUUACUCAAAGGUAACAUGUUUGGAUAAUUAUUGUAAUUGGUUGGUUCUACCGAAUUGGAUGUAAUUGGAGUAUUGUGAUUACACUUUCUAAUUCUUAGGGGAAGGGUGAGAGUUAGAGUAAUUAUGCGGGUAAUUAAAUUAAAUUCAAUUACCUUAUGGCUUUUCAAACACUCGUACAUGAUUUAACUUUUGAAAACUUAUUUUUUUUAUAUUAGUGUUUAAGUAUGAACAUGCAUGAGUAUUUGGACUAAAUUUAUAUUAUUAAAAUGUUAAGGAAUUAGAUAAAAAUGCAUAUAAUAUUUAUUUUUCUUGUUACUUUUAUUAGUAAAUGUAUUAUCCAC